rnacentral:lncRNA from 1 species
CAAUAGUCACUCAACUUUGAUGCAGCUAACAAAACAGUCACUUUGAUUUUAAUUUAGUCACUUAAACAAAUCAGUCAUUUUAAUCAUUUUCUAUUACAGAUGUAACAAAAAAGUGACAUGGCAUUCUAUUGUGUAAACGUCCCCAAUUUAAAACCCUAGCUAGGUUGGGUAGUAAAAGAAAAAGAAAACGUAGAAAAGAAGAAGAAAAGAAGAAAAAGAAGAAAAAAUUUCCAAAGCUCCACUCAUCC